GAGGAGUGAGUAAUGGCACUCAGUCUUGCUUUGGUUCUCCUUUUAGGCCUGUCUACUUCCAGAUCUCGUGUUGGUACAACAAACAUGUUCUGCUGAACUAGAUUCAUCUAUGGUAUAACUCCUGGCUUCCCCAUACAACAGCAGAGCAGGUCUGGCAGGAGUGGCUCAAGCCUCCAUACAUGGGACCUGACUCACCACUAUGUUACUCCACUAUCCCUUCUUGUGCGGUGGACGCUUGUUUGCUGAAGCACCUCUGCCAAUGUCCAGUGUGGCUGCUGGGAGCAGGGGCUGGGGCCAAGAAGAGAGGUUUUUGCUCUCUGUGCCAUUCUCCUCCAGAAUCAGCAGAUUCCCAUAAAGCUGCUUGAUGACGCAUUAG